CUUGUUAAGCAAGAAGUCUCCAGCCAAGUGCGAGUGCCGCGAGAACCCUUCAGCCCAGCUACCCCGAGGAAGGGACCAACUGGCAUCUCUUUUGGGAAUCAGAAAAAAGAGAAGGAAGAGAAGAAAAAGGAAGAAGAAGGAGGAGGAGAAGAACAAGGAGAACAAGAAGAGAAGGGGAAAGAGAAAGGGAAAGAGAAAGGGAAAGAAGAACAAGAAUAGUGAAGAGAAUAACGAUGAAGAAAUUGGAUGUAAAGUCACUUGUCCAAGAUUAUACAGGACAUAAGCAGUUCUUUCAGAAGAAAGGCCUGGAGAGACUUACAUGAACUGAUGCUGAGUGAAAUGAGCAGGGCCAGGAGAGCAUUAUAUAUUUCAACAACAAUCCUAUAUGAUGAUCAAUUCUGAUGGACGUGGCCAUCUUCAACAAUGAGAUGAACCAAAUCAGCUCCAAUAGAACAGUAAUGAACUGAACCAGCUACACCCAGGGAAAGAACUCUGGGAGAUAACUAUGAACCACUACAUAGAAUUCCCAAUCCCUCUAUUUCUGUCCACCUGCAUUUUUGACUUCCUUCACAGGCUAAUUGUACACUAUUUCAAAGUCUGACUCUUUUUAUACAGCAAAAUAACUGUUUGGACAUGUAUACAUAUCUUGUAUUUAACUUAUACUUUAACAUAUUUAACAUGUAUUGGUCAUCCUGACAUCUAGGGGAGGGGGUGGGGGAAAGGAAGGAAAAAGUUGGAACAAAAGGAUUUGCAACUAUCAAUGCUGAAAAAUUACCUAUGCAUAUAUCUGGUAAAUUAAAAGUUAUAAUUUAAAAAAUAUGAUCUGUAAAUAAUCCUCUUUGGGGAAACUAUCAGCCAGAGAAAGCUAUGGUUCAGAAAUGGUCAGAUAUGAAAGGGCAAGGGAGCCAGCUGGGAGGAGAAAGGUCUUGGAGGGAGUGGUGUCCAAAGGCAUUGAUGAAGUUCCUGUCCUAAUAUUUACCAUCCAGGGUCAGCAGCUGGAGGAGAGUGAGGGUCAGGGAGGAGGGGGAGAAAGGGAAGAGACACAGACAAAUCUGUAGCAAGCAGUCUUUUCUAAAUGAAGACAGAGCCCUUGGAAUUUUUCUCUGCUAGAUUGCCAAUUUAGAAGGUACUUCAGGGCAAAAGUAAGGGAUAUUUUUGAUGUUUUUUGCUUUGUUUCCUAAUAGAGGUUCCAAAUCAUUCCAAAGAAUCCCCAACAAGACAUAGAAGACAAGAAAAUGACAAAGACCGCAACAAUUACAUUGUACAAUGCAAAAAUAUGGCUGUAUUUUCCCCAAUGCAUAUAAGCAGAAGCAAACCCAAAUAAUGUUUCAUUCAUUUACUAUUAUUAAAUUAUGUGCUACUUUAUGGAAAAAUAAGAGAAAGAAACGUUCUGUGUAAAAAGAAAAAAUAUAAUACAUGCUGCCUUACAGCAGUAAGAGUUUGAAAAAAAAUAUGCAUUUCUUCAUCCUUCAUGUAUUUAUUUAUAAAAUGGUAUAAUACCAUCAGUAGUCCCUCCAUCUAAGGUUUGACAUGAUACUGAAGGAGAUGAUGAGAUGAUGUAUGUUUAGCAUAUAAGA